GGGCCCGUAGCUCAAUGGCGGAGCAGGCGGCUCAUAACCGCUUGGUUGUUGGUUCGAAUCCAUCCGGGCCCA
rnacentral:tRNA from 2 species